rnacentral:misc_RNA from 1 species
AGCAGCCGCGGUAAUUCCAGCUCCAAUAGCGUAUAUUAAAGUUGUUGCAGUUAAAAAGCUCGUAGUUGAAUUUCGAGAUCAAAUUGUUGGUCGUGCCUUGGUACGCACUGGCAUUAUUGGUUUCUCCCUUCUGACGAACCAUGAUGUCAUUAAUUUGGUGUCUUGGGGAAUCAGGACUGUUACUUUGAAAAAUUAGAGUGUUUAAAGCAGGCUCACGCUUGAAUACAUUAGCAUGGAAUAAUGAAAUAGGACGUUUGAUUCUAUUUUGUUGGUUUCUAGGAUCGACGUAAUGAUUAAUAGGGAUAGUUGGGGGCAUUAGUAUUCAAUUGUCAGAGGUGAAAUUCUUGGAUUUAUUGAAGACUAACUACUGCGAAAGCAUUUGCCAAGGAUGUUUUCAUUAAUCAAGAACGAAAGUUAGGGGAUCGAAGACGAUCAGAUACCGUCGUAGUCUUAACCAUAAACUAUGCCGACUAGGGAUCGGAUGAUGUUAAUUUUAAUGACUCAUUCGGACG